AUUGAACGCUGGCGGCAGGCCUAAUACAUGCAAGUCGAACGGUAACAUAAAAGAAGCUUGCUUCUUUUGAUGACGAGUGGCGGACGGGUGAGUAAUAUUUGGGAAACUACCUGAUAGAGGGGGACAACAGUUGGAAACGACUGCUAAUACCGCAUAAAGCCUAAGGGUGAAAGCAGCAAUGCGCUAUCAGAUGUGCCCAAACGGGAUUAGCUAGUAGGUGAGGUAAAGGCUCACCUAGGCGACGAUCUCUAGCUGGUCUGAGAGGAUGAUCAGCCACAUUGGGACUGAGACACGGCCCAGACUCCUACGGGAGGCAGCAGUAGGGAAUAUUGCACAAUGGAGGAAACUCUGAUGCAGCCAUGCCGCGUGUGUGAAGAAGGCCUUCGGGUUGUAAAGCACUUUCGGAGGGGAGGAGGAAUGACGUUACCCUCAGAAGAAGCACCGGCUAACUCCGUG
rnacentral:rRNA from 1 species